AUGAUAUGGUCUGUUUCCUGGCAGAGCACAAGGCUCCACACACUCUUGCUUCCAGGAUCCCCAGAGGGCUGCUGGAAGUGUCAGUCAUUCCUCAAAAUCCAGCCUUGUGGCUUCGCGCAGGAAGUGGCUUUGCUUAGCCCCUCACGCACCUUUGCCCAGCAAUUCACACAGCAGGAUGGGAUCUUCCUGCCCCGCUUACCCUGCCUUUGGCCAAAGGACAAAGGAUUCAGGGACCCAAGUGUCAGAGGAAGUCAGCAUUGGGAAGCAUCACUUACGAGUGGGAGGACAACGCUGUGGCUGAGCAUCUUGCUGGGACAUCAGUGUACGAGGCUUCUGCUCCAGCCACAGGUUCCUCAGCACAACAGAGGCCAUGCAGGUGCAUGAACACAGCAGGAGUGUACCAGAUGUGUUGCUGUCAACAGCUGUUUGUCUUUGUCCAGAACCAUGUCCCAGUGCCUCCUUGGAUUUCAUUUUUCUGGAUGCUUUCAGGAAGAAUGGGGACAACUAUUAAGUGUCCAGGCCCCCAGCAGCAGGGACACAUCAGUAAAUGGAAGUAACUCAAGGAAGUAAAUAGUUGACCCAGGCUGUCUUCAGAACUGCCCUGACUAUUUUGUGAGGGCCCUCGCUCCUAAGAACUGGCAUCAGUGAAGGAUAGGGAAUGGGAUUGAUUUUAAAUUCCCCACUUGGAAAGUAAAUACCAAAGUCACAAGCUGCUGUCACUUUUGGUACCUUGCAGGGACUGGCCAUGUCAAACACGAUUAGCACACGCCAGGGAAAGAUGGACCUUCUCUCCCAGUAUUUACUGCAUCUUCUGUCCAGCAUCCUCUCGCAGCACUGAGCAGAGAUGGUUAUGUGUCAGCUCCAGGGAUGACACUGCCACUGUGUAGCAUAGUUCCUGGACACUAAUCAUUAUUUUUAACACUACAUGUGUGCCGGGGUAUUUUAGUGUGCAAGGAUGUGCAGUGCCGAGUUAGAUCAGAGAAUGAUCAGAUUAUUUUUCCAUAAAGUAAGAGCUUUGCAAAUUUCAGGCUUGGAUAAAUAAUUACUGCUCUUUUUUAAAGGUUUUUAUUUACAAGAGCAUCAAAAUGAAAGUGACAGCAGUGACAGCAAGUAAAUUACCACUGCCUAAUUGGGCCCAAAGAUA
rnacentral:lncRNA from 1 species